GGUUGUGGCUCAGUGGUAGAGCGCUUGCCUAGCACACGCAAAGCCCUGAGUUCAAUUCUCAGUACCA
rnacentral:tRNA from 1 species